rnacentral:lncRNA from 1 species
AUUUUUCUUAAAUAGUAUAUAGAUUCAAAUUUGGUAUACACAUUGUAUUUAUUUGACACACUAAAAACGUGAUGCAUAUACCUCCUGUGUGUGUGAACAAUGAGGUUUCCAAACCCCACUGCUCCCCCUCCCCAACUAAUCCCCCAAGUAAAAAAAAAACGUGACGCGUAAUAAGGGCCUUCCAGGACAAAAAAAAAAAAAACACAGAGGGGUAAAAUAGACCCAACACUCGCACGGGUAUGCCUUUCGCUGCUG